AUUAAAGUGAGGCACAGCUGUGCAGAGUCAUCAGCCUUGUUCUCUCCUCCCGAGUCACCUGAGUCCAGUGAUGAGAGUAUUCAGGCAACUGGUGAGAUCAACAGAUCCAUUUAUGCAUACCAACAACCAGGAUCCCAGAACCAACGGUAACAAGAGUUGAGUCUGGCUCAAGCUCACCAGUCUGAUUCUUCCAAAACUGUAUCACCUUUGCCUCAGUAAAAG